rnacentral:rRNA from 1 species
AGCGAACGCUGGCGGCAGGCCUAACACAUGCAAGUCGAACGAAGUCUUCGGACUUAGUGGCGGACGGGUGAGUAACACGUGGGAACGUACCUUUUGGUUCGGAACAGCUCAGGGAAACUUGAGCUAAUACCGGAUGAGCCCUUAGGGGGAAAGAUUUAUCGCCGAAAGAGCGGCCCGCGUUAGAUUAGCUAGUUGGUGAGGUAAAGGCUCACCAAGGCGACGAUCUAUAGCUGGUCUGAGAGGAUGAUCAGCCACACUGGGACUGAGACACGGCCCAGACUCCUACGGGAGGCAGCAGUGGGGAAUCUUGCGCAAUGGGCGAAAGCCUGACGCAGCCAUGCCGCGUGAAUGAUGAAGGUCUUAGGAUUGUAAAAUUCUUUUACCAGGGACGAUAAUGACGGUACCUGGAGAAAAAGCCCCGGCUAACUUCGUGCCAGCAGCCGCCGUAACAC